UUUCGCAGUAACUAAGGGCAUAGGCCAGAUUCUCUUUGGGUAAAGUUAAAUUUUCUUUAUACAAACUACUCCCUGGCCUCUGGCCAAGGCUUUCUUACAACUAAACAAUAAUAUUUGUCUGGCUGAGCAUCUAUAUUUACUAUAGCAUUUAUAUUAUAGACACAACAACAGUAGUAGUGUGAAUAUACCUAAGAUUUGGAGGAGCCAGAGAGAGAUAGGAUUAAAAUCAGAGAAACGAGUAAUUCAUCCUCUAAAGCCAUUAUACAAAUUUUCAUAUUUUUGUACUCAUGUACUAAUUUUCCACCUGAUCUUCUGUUAUUGUACCCUAUGAUACAUUUCGCACAGAACUGUUUACCAUAGAAAUUAGCUCUCUUGCUCAGGCCAGUCAUUACCCAUUGAGAAGGCUUUAACUCAAAUUCUUAGUACAUGUGGCCAUCAAUAUCAGCAGUUUAAUCUUACUAACAAUGCUUGUAUUAUAUCGUAGUAUAGUAGUAAAUAUAACCUGAAAAAUAAGAGUCAAA
rnacentral:lncRNA from 1 species